rnacentral:rRNA from 1 species
GACGGAGGAUGCAAGCGUUAUCCGGAAUGAUUGGGCGUAAAGCGUCCGCAGGUGGCUAGUCAAGUCCACUGUGAAAGCGUGCAGCUUAACCUCAUACAGGCAGUAGAAACUGACCCGCUAGAGGGUGGUAGGGGUAGAUGGAAUUCACAGUGUAGCGGUGAAAUGCGUAGAUAUUGGGAAGAACACCAGUGGCGAAAGCGCUCAACUGGGCCACACCUGACACUGAGGCACGAAAGCUAGGGGAGCGAAAAGG